rnacentral:rRNA from 1 species
UACGGAGGGUGCGAGCGUUGUCCGGAAUCACUGGGCGUAAAGGGCGCGUAGGCGGCUGGGGAAGUCGGCGGUGAAAGCCCGGAGCUCAACUCCGGGUCGGCCGUCGAGACUCCUCGGCUCGAGCUCACUAGAGGCAGAUGGAAUUCCGGGUGUAGCGGUGGAAUGCGUAGAGAUCCGGAAGAACACCGGUGGCGAAGGCGGUCUGCUGGGCAGUUGCUGGACGCUGAUGCGCGACAGCGUGGGGAGCAAACAGG